rnacentral:tRNA from 1 species
AUCGACUUUUUAAAGUUAAGUGGUACUGAGAAGCCAAUAGCAAUGAAAUCUUCCUCUUCACGGUCAUCAAACUUUG